rnacentral:rRNA from 1 species
UACAGGGGGGGCAAGCGUUGUUCGGAAUUACUGGGCGUAAAGGGCUCGUAGGCGGCCAACUAAGUCACACGUGAAAUCCCCAGGCUUAACCUGGGAACUGCGUGUGAUACUGGAUGGCUUGAAUCCGGGAGAGGGAUGCGGAAUUCCAGGUGUAGCGGUGAAAUGCGUAGAUAUCGGGAGGAACACCUGUGGCGAAAGCGGCGCACUGGACCAUAACUGACGCUGAUGCGCGAAAGCUAGGGGAGCAAACAGG